AUUGAACGCUGGCGGCAGGCCUAAAACAUGCAAGUCGAGCGAGCGGCGGACGGGUGCGUAAUGUAUGGGGACUGCCCGAUAGAGGGGGAUAACUACUGGAAACGGUAGCUAAUACCGCAUACUAUCGGAUAACCCAUAUGGGAUUAGCUAGUCGGUGAGGUAAUGGCUAACCUAGGCGACGAACCCUAGCUGGUCUGAGAGGAUGAUCCGCAGCCCUGGGACUGGGACAGUGCCCAGACUCCUACGGAGGCAGCAGUGGGGAGUAUUGCACAAUGGGCGCAAGCCUGAUGCAGCCAUGCCGCGUGUAUGAAGAAGUCCCUAGGGUUGUAAAGUACUUUCAGUCGGGAGGCGUUACCGACAGAAGAAGCACCGGCUAACUCCGUGCCAGCAGCCGCGGUAAUAC
rnacentral:rRNA from 1 species